AUUGAACGCUGGCGGCAGGCCUAACACAUGCAAGUCGAGCGGAGCGGCGGACGGGCGAGUAAUGCCUAGGAAUCUACCUGGUAGUGGGGGAUAAAGUCCGGCAACGGGCGCUAAUACCGCAUACGAUCAGCUGAGCGUCGGUCGGAUUAGCUAGUUGGUGGGGUAAAGGCCUACCAAGGCGACGAUCCGUCCAUGGGCUGAGCGGAUGAUCAGUCACACUGGAAAUGAGCCACGGUCCAGACUCCUACGAGGGGCAGCAGGAGGGAAUAGUGGACAAUGGGCGAAAGCCUUAUCCAGCCAUGCCGCGUGUGUGAAGAAGGUCUUCGGAUUGUAAAGCACUUUAAGUUGGGAGGCGUUACCAGCAGAAUAAGCACCGGCUAACUUCGUGCCAGCAGCCGCGGUAAUUC
rnacentral:rRNA from 1 species